GUCCACGCCGUAACGAUGUCAACUAGCCGUUGGAGCCUUGAGCUCUUAGUGGCGCAGCUAACGCAUUAAGUUGACCGCCUGGGAGUACGGCCGCAAGGUUAACUCAAUGAAUUGACGGGCCCGCACAAGCUGUGGAGCAUGUGGUUUAAUUCGAAGCAACGCGAAGAACCUUACCAGGCCUUGACAUCCAAUGAACUUUCCAGAGAUGGAUUGGUGCCUUCGGGAACAUUGAGACAGGUGCUGCAUGGCUGUCGU
rnacentral:rRNA from 1 species